GCCGCAUGCUUACCAUGCAAGUCGAACACGGUAACAGAGGGAGUUUGCUCCUUGCUGACGAGUGGCGGACGGGUGAGUAACGCGUAGGAAUCUGCCUGAUAGAUGGGGACAACUCAGGGACACUUGAGCUAAUACCGAAUACGCCCUACGGGGGAAAGCGGGGGAUCUUCGGACCUCGCGCUAUCAGAUGAGCCUGCGUUGGAUUAGCUAGUUGGUGAGGUAAUGGCUCACCAAGGCGACGAUCCAUAGCUGGUCUGAGAGGACGAUCAGCCACACUGGGACUGAGACACGGCCCAGACUCCUACGGGAGGCAGCAGUGGGGAAUAUUGGACAAUGGACGCAAGCCUGAUCCAGCAAUACCGCGUGUGUGAAGAAGGCCUUAGGGUUGUAAAGCACUUUCAGCAGUGAGGAAAAACUUAAGAUUAAUAACCUUAGGUCUUGACGUUAACUGCAGAAGAAGCACCGGCUAACUCCGUGCCAGCAGCCGUUAAUACAGAGGGUGCGAGCGUUAAUCGGAAUUACUGGGCGUAAAGCGUACGUAGGCGGUUUAGUAAGUCAGAUGUGAAAGCCCUGGGCUCAACCUGGGAACUGCAUUUGAAACUACUGAACUAGAGUGUGGUAGAGGGAAGUGGAAUUCAGGGUGUAGCGGUGAAAUGCGUAGAUAUCCUGAGGAACACCAGUGGCGAAGGCGACUUCCUGGACCAACACUGACGCUGAGGUACGAAAGCGUGGGUAGCAAACAGGAUUAGAUACCCUGGUAGUCCACGCCGUAAACGAUGUCAACUAGUUGUUGGGAGCAUUUUGGCUUUUAGUAACGUAGCUAACGCGAUAAGUUGACCGCCUGGGGAGUACGGCCGCAAGGUUAAAACUCAAAGGAAUUGACGGGGGCCCGCACAAGCGGUGGAGCAUGUGGUUUAAUUCGAUGCAACGCGAAGAACCUUACCAGCCCUUGACAUCCUGGAAACUUACUAGAGAUAGUUUGGUGCCUUCGGGAAUCCAGUGACAGGUGCUGCAUGGCUGUCGUCAGCUCGUGUCGUGAGAUGUUGGGUUAAGUCCCGUAACGAGCGCAACCCUUGCCCUUAGUUGCCAGCACGUAAUGGUGGGAACUCUAGGGGGACUGCCGGUGAUAAACCGGAGGAAGGUGAGGAUGACGUCAAGUCAUCAUGGCCCUUAUGGGCUGGGCUACACACGUGCUACAAUGGCCGGUACAGAGGGCCGCAAACCCGCGAGGGGGAGCAAAUCUCACAAAACCGGUCGUAGUCCGGAUCGGAGUCUGCAACUCGACUCCGUGAAGUUGGAAUCGCUAGUAAUCGCGAAUCAGAAUGUCGCGGUGAAUACGUUCCCGGGCCUUGUACACACCGCCCGUCACACCAUGGGAGUGGGUUGCAAAAGAAGUGGGUAGCUUAACCUUCGGGAGGACGCUC
rnacentral:rRNA from 1 species